GCUAGAAUAUCCCCGCAGUUUCACCGAUUCCGAGUGUAAUAAAUUAAAGGGGCGAUACUCGUUUUUCCACUGGUUGAAAUUAAUCAGAGACAAUUUUGAUUUGCGUUCGACGUCGAACGGAGUGCUUUGAAUAGAUCCUAAACUUGUUGCCUCCGCGGAGUCUCAAUUACAGUGCGACGAGUAUGUAUAAUAAUUGCGUGUACGUAUGUUAGUCGAUCGAUGAAGCAUCUCAACCGGAUAUUGGAUGUGCAGCUGCGGUGGGCUUCUUCUCUGUAGAUGUAAAAUAAAUCUAUGAAAACCGACGCCAACUGUUCGUGGCGUAAUGAUUAUAUGCGACACGGGAUAUUUGUGGAUUUAAAUAAACAAGGAAAUACGGUCAAUCUAAUAUCAUAAAUAUGUUGUUAUAGGUUUUCCGACUCUCGGAAAAAUAACGAGGUGACUCACGGCACGUUCUAAAGAGUCUAAUUUUUGUCAGGCAAUCCAAAUUAACUGUAACCACUGUUGCAAUCAAAGUACUCGUGAGAAUUUCCGAUUCAAUACUGUAAGAUUCGUCAAUUUUGCAAAUUAUUUCCGAUUAUACGUAUAUUGAUUAUUGUACCCUGCGACAGCAAAGGUAUUGCCACAUUAACACGCUUCAGACGCACGUCGCGAAACUUGGUUUAUCCACGCAGUAACAAUUACUUGUAUUUUAAUCAGACGGUUCUUCUUUUUCACUCAAGUUGAUUAUAUUGGUGUCUGAUUGUAAUACUUGGCGUUUAGUUUAAUUUCUUUUCUACUCAUGAACUUCCAUUUGGUGGAUUGAUUUGGGCCCGACAUGUGAAUUACACAGUCUUAUACUGCAAAAUGAUCUAUCAAUGUAAUGUAGUAAAUAUACGGUGCAUUAUGUCCAUAUACAAAGUGCCAAUAUGCAAUGCACUUCGAUUUUAGAUUGAAGUAUCGUUAACGAAAAGAAUCAUGCAGAUUUCAAUUUCUUACACCAUAUUACCGGUGCACUUGCGACGAGGAGUUUGCUUUUAUUGUAAUAAAUAAUGAGACGAUUACGUAGAACGUGAAAGUUUCAAUAUAUACUUGAUGGAGAAAUAUGCGUGACAGCUGAAAUCACAUUCAUUCAAGCGAAAUAAGAAUUGGAAAAUGUCAGCAUGGCAAUAUGACUGGAUUAUAGGAAAGGCGACUGAAGUCAUUAUUACUUAUUCCUCAUUACAACUACAUGCAUUUGCGGCUUUGACAUGAGAACAGAAACGCAGUGGCAGAAACGGCGUUUUGGUCAGCCGUGGGCGGAAUACCUAAACAUCGCGAGUGACGCGUUUCAUGAUUCAUUCAUGGCAAAAUCAUAACUCACAACACUUGAACCAGUAGCGAAUGGUAACAAGGUGUUAGUGUAGGGGCUCAAAUGUAUAUGGGGCAUCAAUUAAUCAUGUCGUUUGAGCGAUACUCGAGGUGAAAACGGCCACUUACACGUUAUAUCGUGAUGGGUAAAAUCGAUUGUUUCUGUAAUAAAAAUCUGCGUAUAACCCGAGAGUAAUAAACGUCAGAAGCAUUAUAUUUCAAUGUAAAUAUUUUUAUUGUUGAUUGAAACCAAGAAUAGCACAGCUAUUCCAUGUAGAUAAACAUGUAUACAACGUGGGUACAUACAUAACGGUUUAUAGUUUGUAAUAAUAAAAGAAAAACCUCUGAAAAUGUGUAAAAUUAUCUAUGAACGUACAACGCUGUAAAAUGCGCUGCCCUGAAAUCACUGUACAUUUAAAUUAUUAUUAAUUGGCAACUAAAAUUCUUUGCAAUUGCUUUACAAUAAAA